UUAAAGGAAUUGACGGGGAGCACCACAACGGGUGGAGCUUGCGGUUUAAUUGGAUUCAACGCCGGAAAUCUUACCGGGACCGACAGCAAUAUGAAGGGCCAGGCUGAAGACUUUGCCGGAUUAGCUGAGAGGUGGUGCAUGGCCGUCGUCAGUUCGUACUGUGAAGCAUCCUGUUAAGUCAGGCAACGAGCGAGACCCACGCCCACAGUUGCCAGCGUACUCUCUGGAGUGACGGGUACACUGUGGGACCGCCGCUGCUAAAGCGGAGGAAGGAAUGGGCAACGGUAGGUCAGUAUGCCCCGAAUAUCCCGGGCUACACGCGAGCUACAAUGGUUGGUACAAUGGGUAUCUACCCCGAAAGGGGACGGGAAUCUCCUAAAACCAAUCUUAGUUCGGAUUGAGGGCUGCAACUCGCCCUCAUGAAGCUGGAAUCCGUAGUAAUCGCGUUUCAACAGAACGCGGUGAAUACGUCCCUGCUCCUU
rnacentral:rRNA from 1 species